rnacentral:rRNA from 1 species
GGGCAGCGGAGGCAGUAGCAAUACUGCCUGCCGGCGACCGGCGCACGGGUGAGUAACACGUAUGCAACCUACCCUUGUCAGGGGGAUAAGCCGGAGAAAUCCGGUCUAAUACCGCGUGACAUCGGGAUUCCGCAUGGGAUUCCGAUCAAAGGAGCAAUCCGGACAAGGAUGGGCAUGCGGCGCAUUAGCUAGUUGGCGGGGUAACGGCCCACCAAGGCGACGAUGCGUAGGGGUUCUGAGAGGAAGGCCCCCCACACUGGUACUGAGACACGGACCAGACUCCUACGGGAGGCAGCAGUGAGGAAUAUUGGUCAAUGGGCGCGAGCCUGAACCAGCCAAGUCGCGUGAGGGAAUAAGGUCCUAUGGAUUGUAAACCUCUUUUGUCGGGGAGCAAUGAGCGUCACGCGUGAUGCGUUGAGAGUACCCGAAGAAAAAGCAUCGGCUAACUCCGUGCCAGCAGCCGCGGUAAUACGGAGGAUGCGAGCGUUAUCCGGAUUUAUUGGGUUUAAAGGGUGCGUAGGCGGGGAGCCAAGUCAGCGGUAAAAUCGUGGGGCUCAACCCCAUCCCGCCGUUGCAACUGGUUUUCUUGAGUGGAUGAGAAGCAUGCCCAAUGCGUGGUGUAGCGGUGAA